rnacentral:sRNA from 1 species
AACCCUCGAUGUUCUUCCACUCCGUGCUCCGCGCUCACAUAGUCUCUAACAAUUCUUCUGCAUAGCUCUUAACAUUCUCCUGCUUCAUGCUCCGCACUCACAUAGUCUCUAACAAUUCUUCUGUGUAGCUCUCAAUGAUUCUCCCACCCCAUGCUCCGCACUCGCGUAGUUUCUAACAAUUCUUCCACAUAGCCCUCAAUGAUUCUCCUGCCCCACACUUCACACUUGUAUAGUUUCUAACAAUUCUUCCACAUAGCUCUUAACAUUCUUCUGCUCCACACUCCACUGUGGAGUGGCUUCUGAUAUUCUUCCACUCUGAAUUUCUCUCUAUAAGAACCCUCUUCAUAUGACCUUUUCUUCUGAUUUCUUUUCUCUUUCUUUCCUUAAUCAAUUUGUAAUCUGUAAUUAGGAUAGUACCAAAUCGUU